AAUCAAAUAGUGGGGAGGUCGUGAGACGGCCUGAGAGUUUCGAUAAAUCGGAUUACCCUAUGAACCUGAUCUGGAUAAUGCCAGCGUAGGAAAAAUAGAUAACAUUAAU
rnacentral:ncRNA from 2 species